CAAAGGUCCUGCGGCGGGAGGGUGCUUGACAGUCACAGAAAGUCAAGGCCAAUGUGGCUAAGAGGGGGUGCAGUACAAAGAUCUAAAAAAAUACACACCCACAAUCACACUUUGGAGGCCAGAGCAGUGACCAGCCAGCACCCUUAACUUCCCAGCGCACCUGGAAACCAGGAUCAAAGGAGACCUUGCACUUGCAGUAAAACCGCUAGAAGACAGGCAUCACUGGGUCAUUUCACAGCCACAGAAAGGAAGUGAGAGGUAAGGUGAUGGGUCCAAUAUGACCCAG